UACGUAGGGGGCUAGCGUUGUCCGGAAUCAUUGGGCGUAAAGCGCGCGUAGGCGGCCAGAUAAGUCCGGUGUGAAAGUCACAGGCUCAACCUGUGAAUGCCGCUGGAAACUGUCUGGCUAGAGUCCGGAAGGGGCGAGUGGAAUUCCUGGUGUAGCGGUGAAAUGCGCAGAUAUCAGGAGGAACACCGAUGGCGAAGGCAGGUCUCUGGGCCAUAACUGACGCUGAGAAGCGAAAGCAUGGGGAGCGAACAGG
rnacentral:rRNA from 1 species